GAUGGACGCUGGCGGCGUGCCUAAUACAUGCAAGUCGAGCGAACAGACGAGGAGCUUGCUCCUUCGACGUUAGCGGCGGACGGGUGAGUAACACGUAGGUAACCUACCUAUAAGACUGGGAUAACUUCGGGAAACCGGAGCUAAUACCGGAUAAUAUUUCGAACCGCAUGGUCCGAUAGUGAAAGAUGGCUUUGCUAUCACUUAUAGAUGGACCUGCGCCGUAUUAGCUAGUUGGUAAGGUAACGGCUUACCAAGGCAACGAUACGUAGCCGACCUGAGAGGGUGAUCGGCCACACUGGAACUGAGACACGGUCCAGACUCCUACGGGAGGCAGCAGUAGGGAAUCUUCCGCAAUGGGCGAAAGCCUGACGGAGCAACGCCGCGUGAGUGAUGAAGGUCUUCGGAUCGUAAAACUCUGUUAUUAGGGAAGAACAAACGUGUAAGUAACUGUGCACGUCUUGACGGUACCUAAUCAGAAAGCCACGGCUAACUACGUG
rnacentral:rRNA from 1 species